rnacentral:lncRNA from 1 species
UAGAAGGCUUCGUAGGGGAGGGUCACGCAUGAGUGGGCUGCACAAUAAAGGGCCAUGCACAAUUGGGUUGCACAUCACUAAACUGCAUACAUGUUGUGCUUGUGGGACUCACGUAGGGAAACAUGUAUGAGGGUUGCGCAGAUGGACGUUGCGCACCAGCAAGCCACGUAUAAGAGGACAACCUGUAUGAGAGUGAUCCAUUAGCUACUAAAAAGAG